GGGCUUAUGACGCAUUAGCCAGCUGGUGAGGUAACGGCUCACCAGGGCGACGAUGCGUAGCCGGCCUGAGAGGGUGGACGGCCACACUGGGACUGAGACACGGCCCAGACUCCUACGGGAGGCAGCAGUAGGGAAUUUUCGGCAAUGGGCGAAAGCCUGACCGAGCAACGCCGCGUGAAGGAAGAAGUCAUUCGUGAUGUAAACUUCUGUUAUGAAGGAAGAACGGCAGAUGGAGGGAAUGCCAUGUGCGUGACGGUACUUCAUGAGGAAGCCACGGCUAACUAC
rnacentral:rRNA from 1 species